GAGCAGCAUCAGUAAAAUCAGGAACAGGAGAAUCAGAUGUUGGAUCAGAUGGAGGGGAAGGAGGAGAGGAAGUAUGUAUAGUAAAAUUUUGGUCAGGGGAAUGCUCAGCAGGAGGAAUAAAGGGAAAAGAUGAAGGAGAAGAAUGAGCAGAAGAAGGUUUAUUCUUAAAGGGAAAACAAGUUUCAUGGAAUAUAACAUCCCUGG
rnacentral:lncRNA from 1 species